rnacentral:rRNA from 1 species
GACGAACGCUGGCGGCGCGCCUAAUACAUGCAAGUCGAACGGGUCUCCUUCGGGAGGUCAGUGGCGGACGGGUGAGUAACACGUGGGUGACCUGCCCCGAAGUGGGGAAUAACGCUGCGAAAGCAGCGCUAAUACCGCAUAUGCUUAACGGUCCAAUCUGUUAAGCAAAGCAGCAAUGCGCUUUGGGAGGGGCCUGCGGCAGAUUAGCUAGUCGGUGGGGUAAUGGCCUACCGAGGCGACGAUCUGUAGCUGGUCUGAGAGGAUGACCAGCCACACUGGGACUGAGACACGGCCCAGACUCCUACGGGAGGCAGCAGUAAGGAAUAUUCCACAAUGGGGGAAACCCUGAUGGAGUGACGCCGCGUGCG